rnacentral:rRNA from 1 species
UACGAAGGGGGCUAGCGUUGUUCGGAUUUACUGGGCGUAAAGCGCACGUAGGCGGACUAUUAAGUCAGGGGUGAAAUCCCGGGGCUCAACCCCGGAACUGCCUUUGGUACUGUAGUCUUGAGUUCGAGAGAGGUGAGUGGAAUUCCGAGUGUAGAGGUGAAAUUCGUAGAUAUUCGGAGGAACACCAGUGGCGAAGGCGGCUCACUGGACCAUAACUGACGCUGAUGCACGAAAGCUAGGGGAGCAAACAGG